rnacentral:rRNA from 1 species
UAAUGCCGGAUGCUCCGACUCCUCGCAUGGGGUGUCGGGAAAGAUUUCAUCGGUAUGGGAUGGGGUCGCGUCCUAUCAGGUAGUCGGCGGGGUAACGGCCCACCGAGCCUACGACGGGUAGCCGGCCUGAGAGGGCGACCGGCCACAUUGGGACUGAGAUACGGCCCAGACUCCUACGGGAGGCAGCAGUGGGGAAUAUUGCACAAUGGGCGCAAGCCUGAUGCAGCGACGCCGCGUGCGGGAUGACGGCCUUCGGGUUGUAAACCGCUUUUGAUCGGGAGCAAGCCUUCGGGUGAGUGUACCUUUCGAAUAAGCACCGGCUAACUACGUGCCAGCAGCCGCGGUAAUACGUAGGGUGCAAGCGUUAUCCGGAAUUAUUGGGCGUAAAGGGCUCGUAGGCGGUUCGUCGCGUCCGGUGUGAAAGUCCAUCGCUUAACGGUGGAUCUGCGCCGGGUACGGGCGGGCUGGAGUGCGGUAGGGGAGACUGGAAUUCCCGGUGUAACGGUGGAAUGUGUAGAUAUCGAAAAGAAACC